ACGAACGCUGGCGGCGUGCUUAACACAUGCAAGUCGAACGGUGAAGCGCCUUCCUUUUUGGUGGGUGUGGAUGAAUGGCGAACGGGUGAGUAACACGUGAGUAACCUGCCCCCUUCUUCUGGAUAACCGCAUGAAAGUGUGGCUAAUACGGGAUAUUCUGGGUCUGUCGCAUGAUGGGUCUGGGAAAGAUAUUGUUUCGGUGGGGGAUGGGCUCGCGGCCUAUCAGCUUGUUGGUGGGGUGAUGGCCUACCAAGGCGGUGACGGGUAGCCGGCCUGAGAGGGUGGACGGUCACACUGGGACUGAGACACGGCCCAGACUCCUACGGGAGGCAGCAGUGGGGAAUAUUGCACAAUGGGCGCAAGCCUGAUGCAGCGACGCCGCGUGAGGGAUGGAGGCCUUCGGGUUGUGAACCUCUUUCGCCAGUGAAGCAGGCCUGCCUCGUUUGUGGGUGGGUUGACGGUAGCUGGAUAAGAAGCGCCGGCUAACUACGUG
rnacentral:rRNA from 1 species